rnacentral:rRNA from 1 species
CAACUUCGCCUUGGACUUCCCACUUGGUGCCAAUUCGUGCCGUUCGUUAGUGUAAUUUAGAAGGAAGUAAAAGUCGUAACAAGGUUUCCGUAGGUGAACCUGCGGAAGGAUCAUUAGUGAAUAUAGGACGUCCAACUUAACUUGGAGUCCGAACUCUCACUUUCUAACCCUGUGCAUUUGUUUGGGAUAGUAACUCUCGCAAGAGGGCGAACUCCUAUUCACUUAUAAACACAAAGUCUAUGAAUGUAUUAAAUUUUAUAACAAAGUAAAACUUUCAACAACGGAUCUCUUGGCUCUCGCAUCGAUGAAGAACGCAGCGAAAUGCGAUAAGUAAUGUGAAUUGCAGAAUUCAGUGAAUCAUCGAAUCUUUGAACGCACCUUGCGCUCCAUGGUAUUCCGUGGAGCAUGCCUGUUUGAGUGUCAUGAAUACUUCAACCCUCCUCUUUCUUAAUGAUUGAAGAGGUGUUUGGUUUCUGAGCGCUGCUGGCCUUUAGGGUCUAGCUCGUUCGUAAUGCAUUAGCAUCCGCAAUCGAACUUCGGAUUGACUUGGCGUAAUAGACUAUUCGCUGAGGAAUUCUAGUCUUCGGACUAGAGCCGGGUUGGGUUAAAGGAAGCUUCUAAUCAGAAUGUCUACAUUUUAAGAUUAGAUCUCAAAUCAGGUAGGACUACCCGCUGAACUUAAGCAUAUCAAUAAGCGGAGGAAAAGAAACUAACAAGGAUUCCCCUAGUAGCGGCGAGCGAAGCGGGAAGAGCUCAAAUUUAUAAUCUGGCACCUUCGGUGUCCGAGUUGUAAUCUCUAGAAAUGUUUUCCGCGUUGGACCGCACACAAGUCUGUUGGAAUACAGCGGCAUAGUGGUGAGACCCCCGUAUAUGGUGCGGACGCCCAGCGCUUUGUGAUACAUUUUCGAAGAGUCGAGUUGUUUGGGAAUGCAGCUCAAAUUGGGUGGUAAAUUCCAUCUAAAGCUAAAUAUUGGCGAGAGACCGAUAGCGAACAAGUACCGUGAGGGAAAGAUGAAAAGCACUUUGGAAAGAGAGUUAACAGUACGUGAAAUUGUUGGAAGGGAAACGCUUGAAGUCAGACUUGCUUGCCGAGCAAUCGGUUUGCAGGCCAGCAUCAGUUUUCCGGGAUGGAUAAUGGUAGAGAGAAGGUAGCAGUUUCGGCUGUGUUAUAGCUCUCUGCUGGAUACAUCUUGGGGGACUGAGGAACGCAGUGUGCCUUUUGGCGGGGGUUUCGACCUCUUCACACUUAGGAUGCUGGUGGAAUGGCUUUAAACGACCCGUCUUGAAACACU